GUGCUCACUUUAGCCGCACAUAUAUUAAAAUGGAAUGAUACAGAGAACAUUAGUAUGGCCACUUGCAAGGAUGACACACAAAUUCAUAAAUCAUUCCGUAUUUUA
rnacentral:snRNA from 1 species